CGACCGGCGCACGGGUGAGUAACGCGUAUCCAACCUUCCCAUUACUGUGGGAUAACCUGCCGAAAGGCAGACUAAUACCACAUAGUCUUCGAUGACGGCAUCAGAUUUGAAGUAAAGAUUUAUCGGUAAUGGAUGGGGAUGCGUCUGAUUAGCUUGUUGGUGGGGUAACGGCCCACCAAGGCGACGAUCAGUAGGGGUUCUGAGAGGAAGGUCCCCCACAUUGGAACUGAGACACGGUCCAAACUCCUACGGGAGGCAGCAGCG
rnacentral:rRNA from 1 species